rnacentral:rRNA from 1 species
UACGUAGGGUGCGAGCGUUAAUCGGAAUUACUGGGCGUAAAGCGCGCGCAGGCGGUCCUUUAAGUCUGAUGUGAAAGCCCACGGCUCAACCGUGGAGGGUCAUUGGAAACUGGGGGACUUGAGUGCAGAAGAGGAAAGCGGAAUUCCACGUGUAGCGGUGAAAUGCGUAGAGAUGUGGAGGAACACCAGUGGCGAAGGCGGCUUUCUGGUCUGUAACUGACGCUGAGGCGCGAAAGCGUGGGGAGCAAACGGG